AAGCGGAGUCCUAUUCAGCUACAGUUGGUGAAGGGAGCUGCUGCCCAUCCUCUGGCUCCUCCGACCUGGACAACUUGACUCAGCUCCUAGGCACGCCUUCACAGGAGAACCAGCCCAUCUAAGACUCUCCCUCCAGGCUGACAGAAGUGCAUGACUGAGCUAUGUGCCUGCAAUCCGGCAAAUCCAGCCCUGUCACUCACUGCUGAGGAGGCUCACUGCUGAGGAGGUUGAACCUGUACACCACAGGCGACCACCACGAACUGAAAGUUAAGAUGAAUGUUUCCAAAAUGCCUUUCCAGGCUAGAACCCAGGUUGU